UGCCGGCGACCGGCGAAUGGGUGAGUAACACGUAUCCAACCUGGCCCGCACUCGGGGACAGCCUUUCGAAAGAAAGAUUAAUACCCGAUGCGGCCGCGUUCCCACAUGGGAUUGCGGUCAAAGAUUCAUCGGUGCGGGAUGGGGAUGCGCCUGAUUAGGCAGUUGGCGGGGUAACGGCCCACCAAGCCGACGAUCAGUGGGGGUUCUGAGAGGAAGGUCCCCCACAUUGGAACUGAGACACGGUCCAAACUCCUACGGGAGGCAGCAGUGAGGAAUAUUGGUCAAUGGGCGGAAGCCUGAACCAGCCAAGUAGCGUGCAGGACGACGGCCCUCUGGGUUGUAAACUGCUUUUGUGCGGGGGUAAUGUGGCCCACGUGUGGGUUAUUGCAAGUACCGCACGAAUAAGCAUCGGCUAACUCCGUGCCAGCAGCCGCGGUAAUACGGAGGAUGCGAGCGUUAUCCGGAUUUAUUGGGUUUAAAGGGAGCGUAGGUGGCCGGUUAAGUCAGUUGUGAAAAGCAGGUGCUCAACAUCUGCCUUGCAGUUGAAACUGUCCGGCUUGAGCGUGUGAGAGGCAGGCGGAAUUCGUGGUGUAGCGGUGAAAUGCUUAGAUAUCACGAAGAACUCCGAUUGCGAAGGCAGCUUGCUGGCCCACGUCUGACACUAAUGCUCGAAAGUGCGGGUAUCGAACAGGAUUAGAUACCCUGGUAGUCCGCACAGUAAACGAUGAAUACUCGCUGUUUGCGAUAGAAUGUAAGCGGCCAAGCGAAAGCGUUAAGUAUUCCACCUGGGGAGUACGCCGGCAACGGUGAAACUCAAAGGAAUUGACGGGGGCCCGCACAAGCGGAGGAACAUGUGGUUUAAUUCGAUGAUACGCGAGGAACCUUACCCGGGCUUGAAUUGCAUACGACGUGCGCGGAGACGCGCAUCCCGCCAA
rnacentral:rRNA from 1 species